rnacentral:misc_RNA from 1 species
UGCAGUUCCAAAAUAUAAUUAAAUUAGGACUUAUGUCUGUUUAGUUUUACUCUCUCCCUCUCUCUGUCUCCGCUUGUGCCUCGUUCUCCUACAGCUCAAACGACGACGAAUUGCAUCUCGGUGGAUCAAAUUCUCGGUCCUCUCUGUCCCCAGCUAAUAUGGUUCGGAGAAAACGUCAGUUACCAAAUAAUGCGGAAGAAUGUGUUGAAGAUUGGGAUGACUCUGCAAGUUCCAAUUCUAAGCGUGUUGAAGUUGAAAGUGGUCUAGGUGAAGCAGAAGACAAUGAAUGUUAUUCAACUUCUUGCUCGUAUUUUUCAAAGGUUAGGCAUCAAUACAAAGUAAGCGGAAUGGCUGAUAGUGUGGUUAAUGAAAAACUUGCCCUAUUCAUUCUCUCUAACAAUAUUGCAUUUGAUAUUGUUGAAGCACCAUUUUUUGUUGAUUUUGUGAGGGGAGUAGCUGAAUGUGGCAUUAGUUAUAAGCUGCCUAGUUCUCUAAUGCUCCAAAGAAAUGCUUUUCUUGAAGUUGAGAUGGAAGUUGAGAAAUAUGUUACGAAAGUGAGGCAUUCAUGGACUAUGCAAGGUUGCACAAUAAUGAUUGGCAUGUGGAAUAACUUCAUUAGUAUCACUGCAUAUUCUGCAGAAGGAGCUGAGUUUUUGAAAUUCCAGGAAAUUUCAAAAUUGGAUGUGAAAGACAUUGUUUCCUCUGUAAUUGACGACAUCGGGGAAGAUCAUGUGGUCCAAGUUAUCACGAACAGUGAUACAAUUUAUUAUUCAAUUGAGAAUCUGCUUCUGAAUAAGUACUCUCAUAUAUGCCAGAUUCGGUGUGUUGCUCAUGAGAUUCAUUCUCUCAUGAAAGCUAUAUACAGUGAAGUUGGAUGGAUACAAGAAACAAUUGAUCAUGCAGCAUUGGUGGUAAAAUGUAUGUAUGAAGAUGACAUUUUUUCGAAGUUGAAAUAUCCUUGCGAGUCUAAAUUUGCCUCCAACUAUCAAAUGCUGCAAUCAAUUUUGAGCAAUAAGAAUGAAUUGCGACAACUUGAAUGU